CAAGUACUUUAAAAAUCGAAUAACCAAUUGGAACCCGAACCCGAAAAUACAUCGGAUUGUACCGGUUCUUUGAAGAUUUUCUAACCACAAUCCGAAUCCGAACCGGUCCCGAACCGAACUUUCACAUAAUCCGAAUAGGGCUGAUUUGAUAAACCCAAACAAUCGAGACCCGAUUGGAACUCCGAAUGCCCGAGCAUACCUCUUACGACGAUAGCAUUUGUUGCUUGAACUUCCAGUGCUAGCCAUACACUCAUCUCAUCGUCAUUUUCUUUCUCCAUCUCGUCAUUUUCUUUUCCCAUAUUUACCUAAUCUUCCUUCAAAACUUUUUUGAACGAUUCUCUUCAUUUUCUUUUACCAUAUUGAUUACUACUUUCCAAAUAUGUUUCCUUUCUUUCUUUUUUUUCUUUUAUCAAAUCCUAAUUUUUCGAAGACCUUGAAACUUUUACAAUUCCUUUUCUCUGAUAUAUCAGAAAGAUUUACCGGUUUCGAAUCUGAGGUUUUUGGGUACAACGAAAGAAUUUAGAGGAAGACAACAUACAAUGUUAAUCAGAUCAGUGAAUAAAUGUACAACAAUUUAAUGUAUGUGUAUUACUGUUUUAACAUCUUCUUUUUAUAUAUAAAAUACAUUUUGAAUCACUUUCGGAGGGUCCACGUCAUCAAUUCGUGCUCUGUCGAAGCGACACCUGUCCGUUUUUAAAAACUAUGUGUUUCAUUAAAAGGAGUCAGAGAUUUUUAUGGACUACGUUUAGUUUGUGGGCUUUUGGCUUUUGGCUUUGGCACAAUUAACCCAACUCCAUAGCAAUCAGCCCUAACUACCUUUAAACGCGUCUAAUGGAAAAUUAGAGUUCAUCUCCGCUCUUUGUUCUCCGCCGUCGGAGAGAUUGAUUUGCCGAAUUCGAGCUGUCUGAUUUUAUUUCUAAUCAAGCGAAAUAAACUUAUUCUCUGAGAAUGGCUAAUUCCAAAGCUUUUCACUCUGAUUUGAAGUUUGUUUGUGUUCUUCCACUGUUGAGAACUCAUGUGAGUUGAUAUGCUCAUCCUAGAUCUGUUCUUGAACUCUUGAUAAUCAUAAUGUUUAAUUAUUUCGGCUACAUGUAUAAUCUGUUUCUUGAUUCUGAUAACUUUCAAACUCUGUUUCGACCAUUGUGCAAGACACCGUUAGUUCUAACCGGCUUCCAACCUUCUGGCCUCAUCACCUCAGUGUGAUCAAAACUUCAGGCUUUCUGACUCCUCCUUAUUGAUUUUGUAACUCUUUGGUGAGUUAACCUAACCUGUUUAUUCAUUAAUUUCCGGUUCCGUAAUCGAAGCGAACUGAUUGGGCUAGCAAACUCGAGCACACAUCCUCCUCUUAUUUGGUUAUCAGUGUAUUCGGAUGAUAUAUUUAAUAUUCAUCUUCGCGCAUACAGGAAAGAUAUGCCAAGGUCGAUACUCUGUCAAUAUCCGAUCUUAAUGAGUUUAUCAUCACUGCAGGAACAACAAAGAUCAGACUGGAGGAUGUUGAUGCAACUUCACUCACUCUGAAUCUUGGUUCAGAAGAAGAAAUGUCCUCACCGUCACCAGGAAACAUCAUUCAUUACCGUGUAUGGCAUCGUAAAGGCCACAGAAAGAUUACAGAGGAUAUGAAUUGUGCAUUGGUGUCUCCAAACACAAGGUUUGUUAUCUCUAGACUAACUCCAGCUACAGAGUAUUUCUUCAAAGUUGUUUCCUUUAGAAGCAUCAAAGAGACGAGAGUAGAGAAAAACCAACAUCUCUACAAAAACAUCUCAAGAGAGGAAACAAGUUCAAGCACAAAAGAAAAAAAGUUGGCAAAGAAACUGUGUCUGGAGAAGGCGGGUUAAAGACAGCUGAGUUGGCAGGUCAUGUCAAUACAGAUUUCAGACCGAAGUUUCUGACUUGGUAUGGCUUACACGCCAAUGCCGAUGAGAAAAACGUUGUGAAGGCCUUCGUUAACAGGCUCAUCGACGAUUCACCAGCUCUGGCUAACCAGCUCAUUUGCACAUUCUCUGAUCUCAUAUAAAGAAACGUUCUGCGGUUGGUGGUUGCAAUGCGUCUGAUGGAUUCAUAUUUCAUGGUUUACUUUUAUUUGCUUUACUUUCCGUUUGUCUUUUUUUGCAUUUAUCAGAACAUAUUUUAUGGAACAAUAGAUUUUGAUGACUGGGUGAUUUGAAAAAUAAACAGAGACUUCGAGCUA